AUACGCCCAUAUUACGUUGAAACACCGAUUCCUGUACGAUAACCAAAAUUAAGCAACGUCGAGGCUGGUCGGUACUUAGAUGGGUGACCGUUGAGGAAUACCAGGUGCUGUAA